rnacentral:rRNA from 1 species
GAUAAACGCUGGCGGCGUGCCUAAUGCAUGCAAGUCGCACGGAGCGCUCUUUCGGGGGUGCUGAGUGGCGAACGGGUGAGGAACGCGUGGACAACCUACCCCGGCGUGGGGGAUACCCGCCAGAAAUGGCGGCUAAUACCGCGUACGGUUCUCUGGCGAGGGGCGUGGGGAAAGAAAGCCGUGAGGCGCGCUGGGAGGGGUCUGCGGCCGAUUAGCUGGUUGGCGGGGUAAUGGCUCACCAAGGCGAUGAUCGGUAGCUGGUCUGAGAGGAUGAUCAGCCACACGGGGACUGAGACACGGCCCCGACUCCUACGGGAGGCAGCAGCAAGGAAUUUUCCGCAAUGGGGGCAACCCUGACGGAGCAACGCCGCGUGACGGAUGA